GAACGCUGGCGGCGUGCCUAAUACAUGCAAGUCGAACGCACAGCGAAAGGUGCUUGCAACCUUUCAAGUGAGUGGCGAACGGGUGAGUAACACGUGGACAACCUGCCUCAAGGCUGGGGAUAACAUUUGGAAACAGAUGCUAAUACCGAAUAAAACUUAGUGUCGCAUGACACAAAGUUAAAAGGCGCUUCGGCGUCACCUAGAGAUGGAUCCGCGGUGCAUUAGUUAGUUGGUGGGGUAAAGGCCUACCAAGACAAUGAUGCAUAGCCGAGUUGAGAGACUGAUCGGCCACAUUGGGACUGAGACACGGCCCAAACUCCUACGGGAGGCUGCAGUAGGGAAUCUUCCACAAUGGGCGAAAGCCUGAUGGAGCAACGCCGCGUGUGUGAUGAAGGCUUUCGGGUCGUAAAGCACUGUUGUAUGGGAAGAACAGCUAGAAUAGGAAAUGAUUUUAGUUUGACGGUACCAUACCAGAAAGGGACGGCUAAAUACGUG
rnacentral:rRNA from 1 species